GAUGAACGCUGGCGGCGUGCCUAAUACAUGCAAGUAGAACGCUGAAGGAAGGAGCUUGCUCUUUCCGGAUGAGUUGCGAACGGGUGAGUAACGUGUAGGUAACCUGCCUGGUAGCGGGGGAUAACUAUUGGAAACGAUAGCUAAUACCGCAUAACAGUAGAUGUUGCAUGAUAUCUACUUAAAAGGUGCCAUUGCACCACUACCACAUGGACCUUCGUUGUAUUAGCUAGGUGGUGAGGUAACGGCUCACCAAGGCGACGAUACAUAGCCGACCUGAGAGGGUGAUCGGCCACACUGAGACGGUGACACGGCCCAGACUCCUACGGGAGGCAGCAGUAGGGAAUCUUCGGCAAUGGACGGAAGUCUGACCGAGCAACGCCGCGUGAGUGAAGAAGGUUGUCGGAUCGUAAAGCUCUGUUGUAAGAGAAGAACGAGUGUGAGAGUGGAAAGUUCACACUGUGACGGUAUCUUACCAGAAAGGGACGGCUAACUACGUG
rnacentral:rRNA from 1 species